GCGGGUGUAACUCAGCUGGUAGAGUGCAACCUUGCCAAGGUUGAUGUCGCGAGUUCGAGUCUCGUCACCCGCUCCA
rnacentral:tRNA from 1 species